GUAGUCCACGCCGUAAACGAUGAGUGCUAGGUGUUAGGGGUUUCGAUGCCCGUAGUGCCGAAGUUAACACAUUAAGCACUCCGCCUGGGGAGUACGGCCGCAAGGCUGAAACUCAAAGGAAUUGACGGGGGCCCGCACAAGCAGUGGAGCAUGUGGUUUAAUUCGAAGCAACGCGAAGAACCUUACCAGGUCUUGACAUCCUUUGACCACUCUGGAGACAGAGCUUCCCCUUCGGGGGCAAAGUGACAGGUGGUGCAUGGUUGUCGUCAGCUCGUGUCGUGAGAUGUUGGGUUAAGUCCCGCAACGAGCGCAACCCUUGACCUUAGUUGCCAGCAUUCAGUUGGGCACUCUAAGGUGACUGCCGGUGACAAACCGGA
rnacentral:rRNA from 1 species